GAGGGUAUAGGUCAGUGGUAGAGUAUGUGCUCAGCGUGCACAAGGUCCUGGGUUCAAUCCCCAGCACCUCCA
rnacentral:tRNA from 1 species